rnacentral:rRNA from 1 species
CGCGUAGGCGGCUUUAUAAGUCUGGAGUGAAGGUCCUCUUUUCAAGGGAGGAAUUGCUUUGGAAACUAUAGAGCUUGAGUGCAGGAGAGGUUAUCGGAAUUCCCGGUGUAGCGGUGAAAUGCGUAGAUAUCGGGAGGAACAUCGGUGGCGAAGGCGGGUAACUGGACUGCAACUGACGCUGAGGCGCGAAAGUGUGGGGAGCAAACA